rnacentral:rRNA from 1 species
AGAUUGAACGCUGGCGGCGUGUUAACACAUGCAAGUCGAACGCGAAAGGGACUUCGGUCCUGAGUAAAGUGGCGCACGGGUGAGUAACGCGUGGAUAAUCUGCCCUUAUGAUCGGGAUAACAGUUGGAAACGGCUGCUAAUACCGGAUACGCUCAAAAUGAACUUUUUGAGGAAAGAUGGCCUCUGCUUGCAUGCUAUCACGUAAGGAUGAGUCCGCGUCCCAUUAGCUUGUUGGCGGGUAACGGCCCACCAAGGCAACGAUGGGUAGCCGAUUUGAGAGGAUGAUCGGCCACACUGGAACUGAAACACGGUCCAGACUCCUACGGGAGGCAGCAGUGGGGAAUAUUGCGCAAUGGGCGAAAGCCUGACGCAGCGACGCCGCGUGAGGGAUGAAAGGUUUUCGGAUCGUAAACCUCUGUCAGAAGGGAAGAAACUACGUUGUGCUAAUCAGCAGCGUACUGACGGUACCUUCAAAGGAAGCACCGGCUAACUCCGUGCCAGCAGCAGC